rnacentral:rRNA from 1 species
CAACAGCUAGCCCAACAUGAUAAACCAAACCCCCACUAUUAAAUAAUUUACCACGCACUAAAUUAAACUAAAUAAACCAUUUGUGUUUACUCCCCAGUACGGGCGACGGAAAAGGAAAACAAUGGAGCAAUAGAACUAGUACCGCAAGGGAAAGCUGAAAGAGAAGUGAAACAACCACCUCAGCCUAAAAAAGCAGAGCUUACCCCUCGUACCUUUUGCAUCAUGAUUAAGCCAGUACACUAAAGCGAAGCGCCCUUUAGUUUUUCACCCCGAAACUAGACGAGCUACUCCGAGACAGCCUAUUUAAGGGCCAACCCGUCUCUGUGGCAAAAGAGUGGGAAGAACUCUGAGUAGAGGUGACAGACCUACCGAGCCUAGUUAUAGCUGGUUACCUAGGAAAUGGAUAGAAGUUCAGCCCUCCAACCCGCCCCACCCCGACUGCACCAAGCACCCUCGGCCCUGGAGCCAUGGCGGAGGCGUUAGUCAAAGAAGGUUCAGCUUCUUUGAACAAAGAUACAACUUUCUAAGGAGGCUAAAGACCAAAGUUAGUCCAGGGGCAGUUGUUUCAGUGGGCCUAAAAGCAGCCACCUAUGCAAAAAGCGUUAAAGCUUAUACAACAUAUUUUUAAGCCCCCUUAAUUACGGUAUAUUUUUCUUAUUCCCCUACAUAUUACUAGGUCAUUUCAUGCUCCCAUGAAAGAGACCAUGCUUGAAUGAGUAAUAAGAGGGCCAGCCCCUCUCCAUAGCACAUGUGUAAGUCGGGUUGGACCCCCCACCGACAUUUAACGACCCCAACGCCCAGAGGGAAUUGAACUUAACCAGAGUUUAGACCAGAAAACUACUCAACCUAGUGAUCGUUACCCCCACACAGGAGUGCCACGCAGGAAAGACAUAAAGAUAAGGAAGGAACUCGGCAAACACAAGCCUCGCCUGUUUACCAAAAACAUCGCCUCUUGCAAGCAAGAAUAAGAGGUCCCGCCUGCCCGGUGACUCGAGUAGUUUAACGGCCGCGGUAUUUUGACCGUGCGAAGGUAGCGCAAUCACUUGUCCUUUAAAUGAGGACCUGUAUGAAUGGCAUAACGAGGGCUUAACUGUCUCCCCUAUCCAGUCAAUGAAAUUGAUCUCCCCGUGCAGAAGCGGGGGUAACCACAUAAGACGAGAAGACCCUGUGGAGCUUUAGACACCCAAGCGACCCAAUUAGAACAAGCUUACGCACAAGUAGGAUGACCCCAAUGGUUGAUACCGUUUAAAUGUCUUUGGUUGGGGCGACCGUGGGGAAAAGAAAAACCCCCAUGAGGACCGGGGACCUCCCCCAUAGCCGAGAGCCUACCACUCAAAGCAUCAGAACCUCUGACCCUAAUGAUCCGGCCUAUCGGCCGAUCAACGAACCGAGUUACCCCAGGGAUAACAGCGCAAUCCCCUCCCAGAGCCCAUAUCGACGAGGGGGUUUACGACCUCGAUGUUGGAUCAGGACAUCCUAAUGGUGCAGCCGCUAUUAAGGGUUCGUUUGUUCAACGAUUAACAGUCCUACGUGAUCUGAGUUCAGACCGGAGUAAUCCAGGUCAGUUUCUAUCUAUGACUUGCUCUUCUCUAGUACGAAAGGACCGAGAAGAAAGGGCCAAUACUCCCAGUAUGCCCUACCCUCACCUGAAGGAAAACAACUAAAACAAGCAAGAGGGCAAGCCCCGGCUAUGUUAAAAAUCAU